rnacentral:lncRNA from 1 species
CGGAAGCAGCUUGCAAAUGGCGUCUCCCUCGCUGGAGCGGCCAGAAAAAGGCGCUGGAAAAAGUGAAUUUCGUAACCAGAAGCCGAAGCCGGAGAACCAAGGUGAUGUUAUGUGGGAACCGAAGCCUGGGGUUUGUAUGAAUCAGAACUCCUUACGGUUCCUGAUGGUUGGAAGGAACCAGCUUUUUCCAAAGAGGACAAUCCCAGAGGACUUUUGGAGGAGAGCAGUUUCGCAACUUUGUUCCCAAAAUACAGGGAAGCUUACUUGAAAGAGUGUUGGCCAUUGGUGCAGAAAGCCUUAAAUGAACAUCAUGUUAAUGCAACCCUGGACCUGAUCGAAGGCAGCAUGACUGUUUGUACUACAAAGAAGACUUUUGAUCCAUAUAUCAUCAUUAGGGCCAGAGAUCUGAUAAAACUGUUAGCAAGGAGUGUUUCAUUUGAACAGGCAGUACGAAUUCUUCAGGAUGAUGUUGCAUGUGACAUCAUUAAAAUAGGUUCUUUAGUAAGGAAUAAAGAGAGAUUUGUAAAACGAAGA